GAAAGUUAAGUCCUGGCUCAAGUUGAACGCUGGCGGGAUGCUUUACACAUGCAAGUCGAACGGCAGCACAGACAGGUCACCUGGUGGCGAGUGGCGAACGGGUGAGUAAUGUAUCGGAACGUGCCUAGUAGCGGGGGAUAACGGCUAUACGCGCCCUUCGGGGAAAGCGGGGGACCUUCGGGCCUCGCACUAUUAGAGCGGCCGAUAUCGGAUUAGCUAGUUGGUGGGGGUAACGGCUCACCAGGCGACGAUCCACGUAGCUGGUUUGAGAGGACGACCAGCCACACUGGACUGGGGCCGCGGCCCAGACUCCUACGGGAGGCAGCAGUCAGGGAAUUUUGGACAAUAGGAAACCUGAUCAGCCAUCCCCGUGUGCGGCGAUGAAGGCCUUCGGGUUGUAAAGCACUUUUUGGCAGGAAAACGGCGCAGAUAUGCCCGGCCACAGCGGUAUUUCUUCUCUACCAAAUAAAGCACCAGCUAUUUACAUUGCCAGCAGACUACGUGUCCGUGGUGAAGCGUUGAAAUCGGAAUUACUGGGCGUAAAGCGUGCGCAGGCGGUUCGGAAAGAAAAGAUGUGAAAUCCCAGAGCUUAACUUUGGAACUGCAUUUUUAACUCUGAACUCAAAGUGUGUCAGAGGGAGGUGGAAUUCCGCGUGUAGCAGUGAAAUGCGUAGAUAUGCGGAGGAACACCGAUGGCGAAGGCGGCCUCCUGGGAUAACACUGACGCUCAUGCACGAAAGCGUGGGAGCAAACCAGAUUGAUACCCUGGUAGUCCGCGCCCACAAACGAUGUCAAUAGCUGUUGGGGCCUUCGGGCCUUGGUAGCGCAGCUAACGCGUGAAGUUGACCGCCUGGGGUGCGGAUGCUGAAUUAGAAACUCGAGGAAUUGACAGGGACCCGCACAAGCGGUGGAUGAUGUGGAUUGAUUCGAUGCAACGCGAAAACCUUACCUACCCUUAAACAUGUCUGGUCGAGAAGAGAUUUGGUGUAACUGAAGAACCGGAACACAGGUGCUGCAUGGCUGUCGUCAGCUCGUGUCGUGAGAUGUUGGGUUAGAGUCCGCAACGAGCGCAACCCUUGUCAUUAGUUGCUACGAAAGGGCACUCUAAUGAGACUGCGGUGACAAACCGGAGGAAGGUGGGGAUGACGUCAAGUCCUCGCAUGGCCCUUAUGGGUAGGGCUUCACACGUCAUACAAUGGUCGGGACAGAGGGUCGCCAGCCCGCGAGGGGGAGCCAAUCCCAGAAACCCGAUCGUAGUCCGGAUCGCAGUCUGCAACUCGACUGCGUGAAGUCGGAAUCGCUGGUAAUCGCGGAUCAGCAUGUCGCGGUGAAUACGUUCCCGGGUCUUGUACACACCGCCCGUCACCAUGGGAGUGGGUUUUACCAGAAGUAGUUAGCCUAACCGUAAGGAGGGCGAUUACCACGGUAGGAUUCAUGACUGGGGUGAAGUCGUAAUAAGGUAA
rnacentral:rRNA from 1 species